rnacentral:piRNA from 1 species
UGGGCUUUAUUGCAGGUGUGU